GAUGAACGCUGGCGGCGUGCCUAAUACAUGCAAGUCGAGCGAACAGACGAGGAGCUUGCUCCUCUGACGUUAGCGGCGGACGGGUGAGUAACACGUGGAUAACCUACCUAUAAGACUGGGAUAACUUCGGGAAACCGGAGCUAAUACCGGAUAAUAUAUUGAACCGCAUGGUUCAAUAGUGAAAGACGGUUUUGCUGUCACUUAUAGAUGGAUCCGCGCCGCAUUAGCUAGUUGGUAAGGUAACGGCUUACCAAGGCAACGAUGCGUAGCCGACCUGAGAGGGUGUACGGCCACACUGGAACUGAGACACGGUCCAGACUCCUACGGGAGGCAGCAGUAGGGAAUCUUCCGCAAUGGGCGAAAGCCUGACGGAGCAACGCCGCGUGAGUGAUGAAGGUCUUCGGAUCGGAAAACUCUGUUAUUAGGGAAGAACGAAUGUGUAAGUAACUAUGCACAUCUUGACAGUACCUAAUCAGAAAGCCACGGCUAACUACGUG
rnacentral:rRNA from 1 species